CUUGAACGCUGUCGGCAGGCCUAACAUAUGCAAGUCGUGCGGAGCGGCGGACGGGUGAGUAAUGCCCAGGAAUCUGCCUUGUAGUGGGGGAUAACGUCUGACAACGGGCGCUAAUCUCGCAUCCUAUAAGUUGAGCCUAGUUCGGAUUAGCUAGUUGGUGGGGUAAAGGCCUACAAAGGCGACGAUCCGUAUCUGGUCAGAGAGGAUGAUCAGUCACACUGGAACUGAGACACGGUCCAGAAUCCUACGGGAGACAGCAGUGGAGAAUAUUGGACAAUGGGCGAAAGCCUGAUCCAGCCAUGCCGCGUGUGUGAAGAAGGUCUUAGGAGUGUAAAGCACUUUAAGUUGGGAGGCGUUACCAACAGAAUAAGCACCGGCUAACUUCGUGCCAGCAGCCGCGGUAAUAC
rnacentral:rRNA from 1 species